rnacentral:tRNA from 1 species
CGCGGGGUGGAGCAGCUGGUAGCUCGUUGGGCUCAUAACCCAAAGGUCGUAGGUUCGAGUCCUACCCCCGCAACCA